GUUGAACGGCGGCGGCAGGGCUAACACAUGCAAGUCGAACGAGUGGCGGACGGGCGGGAAAUGUCUGGGAAACUGCCUGAUGGAGGGGGUUCACUACUGGAAACGGUAGGUAAUACCGCAUACCAUUGGAUGUACCCAGAUGGGAUUAGCCAGUAGGUGGGGUAACGGCUCACCUAGGCGACGAUCCCUAGCUGGUCUGAGAGGAUGACCAGCCACACGGGAACUGAGACACGGUCCAGACUCCUACGGGAGGCAGCAGUGGGGAAUAUUGCACAAUGGGCGCAAGCCUGAUGCAGCCAUGCCGCGUGUAUGAAGAAGGCCUUCGGGUUGUAAAGUACUUUCAGCGGGGAGGCGUUACCCGCAGAAGAAGCACCGGCUAACUCCGUGCCAGCAGCCGCGGUAAUAC
rnacentral:rRNA from 1 species